rnacentral:tRNA from 1 species
CUAAUUUGGCAGAAAUUGUUUUUGAUUUAGAAUCUUUAUAUUUGAGUUAAAAUACUUUAAUUUAGU